rnacentral:lncRNA from 1 species
UGAGCCAAGUUAAUGGGAUUUUGGGUCAACGCAAUGGGAUUUGGUUCAACACAACGGGAUUUUGGGUCAAGAUAAUGGGAUUUUUGGACAAGUUAUCGGGAUUUUGGGUCUAGCAAUGGGAUUUUGGGUCACGAUAAUGGGAUUUUGAUCCUAGUUUCUGGGAUUUUGGGUCAACAUAGUUGGGUUUUGGGUCAAGAUAAUGGGAUUUUGGGUCAACUCAGUU